rnacentral:lncRNA from 1 species
UUACUAUCUAAAAGACAGUAACAAAUGCUAGCAAUGAUGCAAGGAUGUGGGUAAAGCGGAAUAUAUACUCUAAUUCACUAUUAGUGGGAAUGCAAAUUAGUGCAACUACUGUGGAAAACAAUAUGUAGAUUUCUUAAAAACUAAAAAUAGACUUGCCGUAUAGUCCAGCAAUCACACCACUGGGUAUAUAGCAAAAUGACAGGAACAUGUAGUAUUAAAGAGGUACCUGCUCCACCAUGUAUUACACAGCACCAUCCAUAAUAUCCAAAAUACUGAAUCAACCAUGCUGUCCAUCAUAAGUAAUGAAUAAAGAAAAUGUGGUUUAUAUACACAAAAGAAUAUUAUUCAGCUAUAAAAAAGAAUGGACAUCUACCAUUUGCAUCAAAAUGAAUACAACUGGAUGACAUCAUGUUGAAUGAAAUAAGCCAGAAGCAUUACCCAUACUUAGGGUUUCACUUACCCCGACAGACCGCUUGGCCUCCGCCGAAUGUCCUAUUUGUGCCCCACGUUGGGCGCCGGCUGCGGUGACUCUUCCUUUUCACCUCCAGAGAAUUAGGCAGGCUGCCUGCAGCCUGUCUUGGCUGAGAAGGGGAAAUGUGCCACCCGCCACUCAGCCUCCCUGAACCCCGGGGACAAUCAGAUGUGGUAGGAAGUUGAGUCAAAGCAGGAUCCCACUUUUGUAAAAGGGGAAGUGUUUAUAAGGCAGUGUUACAGAAUGGACGUGGAAAAGGGGUGGGGUGAUGUGACACAAAAAGGUUUUGGCCAAUCCUAUUAUACCACCUCAGUGAUCGUUAGGCAAAAAGCGCUCUGGGGCUGGGUUGUUUACUGCCAGGGAUUCAAAACGUAAAGACAGGUCUUCAAACUCAAUGCAGGAUUAGGAAGUUCCUCUGGGCCUCUCUGGAUUCAGCCUCCCCCACAAUUUUAGAGGGUACAGAAUUGGGGAUAAAGAGAGUGGGUAUUCAACCAGCAUGGACAGAGGGCAGGGGUUUGAAACCAGAUUUGGGCAGUAGGCAGAGACUCUUUUUAAGCCGUUUGUUGGGGAAGGUACAGAAGACCACAUGGACCCCUCUAAGAGUUUCUUACCAUCGUGACUGGGACAUAAUGAUGCUUAUGAAGAGCAGAAAGAGAAACGUUUAGCAGUAUCUUCAAGAAUGGUCUUGAGCAAAAGAGGCCGCUCCUCAUUCUUGGUCUCUUUCAUAAUGUAGGCAGAGGUGUCUUAGUUGAAUAAACAAACAAACAGGGUGGUGUCUUAGCA